rnacentral:rRNA from 1 species
ACGUAGGGGGCAAGCGUUGUUCGGAUUUACUGGGCGUAAAGGGCGCGUAGGCGGCAAUUCAAGUCAGCUGUGAAAUCUCCGGGCUUAACUCGGAACGGUCAGCUGAUACUGCUUUGCUAGGGUGCAGAAGGGGCAAUCGGAAUUCUUGGUGUAGCGGUGAAAUGCGUAGAUAUCAAGAGGAACACCUGCGGCGAAGGCGGGUUGCUGGGCCGACACUGACGCUGAGGCGCGAAAGCUAGGGGAGCGAACGGGA